GAUGAACGCUGGCGGCGUGCCUAAUACAUGCAAGUCGAGCGAAUGGAUUAAGAGCUUGCUCUUAUGAAGUUAGCGGCGGACGGGUGAGUAACACGUGGGUAACCUGCCCAUAAGCCUGGGAUAACUCCGGGAAACCGGGGAUAAUACCGGAUAACAUUUUGAACCGCAUGGUUAGAAAUUGCAAGGCGGCUUCGGCUGUCAAUAUGGAUGGAUCCGCGUCGCAUUAGCUAGUUGGUGAGGUAACGGCUCACCAAGGCAACGAUGCGUAGCCGACCUGAGAGGGUGAUCGGCCACACUGGGACUGAGACACGGCCCAGACUCCUACGGGAGGCAGCAGUAGGGAAUCUUCCGCAAUGGACGAAAGUCUGACGGAGCAACGCCGCGUGAGUGAUGAAGGCUUUCGAGUCGUAAAACUCUGUUGUUAGGGAAGAACAAGUGCUAGUUGAAUAAGCUGGCACCUUGACGGUACCUAACCAGAAAGCCACGGCUAACUACGUGCCAGCCGCCGCGGUAA
rnacentral:rRNA from 1 species